GUUAACACGGAAUUUCAAGUAUUUGUAUCACUAAUGAACAUAAUAUUGUAAAUCGAUACGUUUUGGAAAUUUUCCACCCUAAUACGAGUAUUGUAAGGGAUAAAAAAAUAUUGUAUAUACAAAAUUUGAUACUACUAGCUCUUCGCUCCCAGCUUCGCCGGUAUGGAUAACACUAAAUUGCGUGGGCGAAGAUGCGUGUUCAGCAGGGCAAUGCAUAUAAUUUCCGGAAAUUAUUUUUACAUCGAGCUUCGUCAAAACCGCUUGAGUGGUAUGAGUUUGAUAACGUAAGAGAUAUGGCAAAUAUUUUCUUCGGUCUUCGCGAGAUAUUGGCACAAUUAAAGCUGCUGUCAACUUUUAAUCUCGCCAUUUUUAAAAUUUCAUUACUUCACAAAUAAACAGAGCUUCUUUCGUUUUAAUAAUAUUAUUUUAAUUAAAAAUUCUAACAUCUAAUCUAUAUAAAAGGAAAUAAAGAAUAUUUUUAAACGA